rnacentral:rRNA from 1 species
GUAGGGAAUAUUGCACAAUGGGCGAAAGCCUGAUGCAGCAACGCCGCGUGCGCGAAGAAGGUCUUCGGAUCGUAAAGCGCUUUUUGGGGAGAUGAGGAAGGACAGUAUCCCCAGAAUAAGGCUCGGCUAACUACGUGCCAGCAGCCGCGGUAAAACGUAGGAGCCAAGCGUUAUCCGAAUUCACUGGGCGUAAAGCGCGUGCAGGCGGUCUGGUAAGUUGGAUGUGAAAUCUCCUGGCUCAACUGGGAGAGGCCGUUCAAUACUGUCAGACUAGAGGGCGACAGAGGGAGGUGGAAUUCCGGGUGUAGUGGUGAAAUGCGUAGAUAUCCGGAGGAACACCAGAGGCGAAGGCGACCUCCUGGGUCGCACCUGACGCUCAGACGCGAAAGCUAGGGGAGCGAACGGGAUUAGAAACCCCAGUAGUCC